rnacentral:rRNA from 1 species
CUACGGGGUGCUCCAGUGAGGAAUAUUGCACAAUGGGGGGAACCCUGAUGCAGCAACGCCGCGUGGAGGAUGACGCAUUUCGGUGUGUAAACUCCUUUUAUAUGUCAAGAAAAUGACGGUAGCAUAUGAAUAAGCACCGGCUAACUCCGUGCCAGCAGCCGCGGUGAUACGGAGGGUGCAAGCGUUACUCGGAAUCACUGGGCGUAAAGGACGCGUAGGCGGGCUUGUAAGUCAGGUGUGAAAUCCUACAGCUUAACUGUAGAACUGCACUUGAAACUACGAGCCUAGAGCAUGGGAGGGGGAGAUGGAAUUAGUGGUGUAGGGGUAAAAUCCGUAGAUAUCACUAGGAAUACCUAAAGCGAAGGCGAUCUCCUGGAACAUAACUGACGCUAAGGCGUGAAAGCGUGGGGAGCAAACAGGAUUAGAUACCCCGGUAGUC